rnacentral:rRNA from 1 species
AGAAACUAACUAGGAUUCCCUUAGUAACGGCGAGUGAACCGGGAUGAGCUCAAAUUUAAAAUCUGGCGUCUUUCAGGCGUCCGAGUUGUAAUCUAUAGAGGCGUUUUCCGCGCCGGACCGCGUCCAAGUCCCUUGGAAUAGGGUAUCAAAGAGGGUGACAAUCCCGUACUUGACGCGACGACCGGUGCUCUGUGAUACGUUCUCAACGAGUCGAGUUGUUUGGGAAUGCAGCUCUAAAUGGGUGGUAAAUUCCAUCUAAGGCUAAAUAUUGGCGAGAGACCGAUAGCGAACAAGUACCGUGAGGGAAAGAUGAAAAGCACUUUGGAAAGAGAGUUAAACAGCACGUGAAAUUGUUAAAAGGGAAACGAUUGAAGUCAGUCGUGUGGGAGGUAUUCAGCCGUCUCUGGCGGUGUAUUUGCCUCUCACGGGUCAACAUCAGUUUGAUCCGGUAGAAAAAGGCGGGAGGAAGGUGGCACCCUCGGGUGUGUUAUAGCCUCCUGUCAC